UGUCCAUCUGAUGAGUUAAGCCUUUUUCAACUGAUUUUUAUAGUUCGUUCUUAUGAUGUACUGUUAUACCACUGUCCCAGGUUAGGGGCUCAGGGUUGGGAUCCCGCUAACAUGUUUAACCCCGCCACACUAUUUAUGUAUGUGCCUGUCCCAAGUCAGGAGCCUGUAAUUUAGUGGUUGUCGUUUGUUUAUGUGUUACAUAUUUGUUUUUCGUUCAUUUUUUUCUUUCUUAAACAAAGCUUUUUAAAUAAGGCCGUUAGUUUUCUCGUUUGAAUUGUUUUACAUUGUCUUAUCGGGGCCUUUUAUAGCUCACUAUGCGGUAUGGGCUUUGCUCAUUGUUGAAGGCCGUACAGUGACCUAUAGUUGUUAAUGUCUGUGUCAUUUUGGUCUGUUGUGGAUAGCUGUCUCAUUGGCAAUCAUACCACAUCUUCUUUUUUAUAAACCCUUUAAAAUUUAUUCUUAUGUUGUGUCUUUGCACCACUUUUCCAGUUUGAACAUGUUGAGCACUCUUAAACAUAUUAAUCCUUCCACAUUCUUUAUUUGCGUUUCCAAAGUCCAAAACUUGUGAUUCUGUGGUUGUUAAUUAUUGUCGGUCAAAUUUUGUUUUUGUUUUUUUUUCAGAAACAAAGCUUUUUUUGGCUAAUUUCUGAAGGCACUACAGUUGCUUUAAUCUAAUUGUUUUGGU
rnacentral:lncRNA from 1 species